rnacentral:ncRNA from 1 species
CCCGGCGGUACACGCAAGGUAUCAGGCCGCAGCUCGCUGUGCGUCGAGGCCGUCGCAAGCGCGCGCCACGGUACACGGAUGUUCAACGGACCUAGCGCCGUCACCGGUCCUGGCCCGCUGCUGGCACGUACGGUUAACCUUCGACAGGCCCGCAAACGCGUCCCCCGCCGCGUCCGCGCGCGCGUGGGGACCGCGAUACCGGUCGGCGACGCUACUGCUUUGGGUACUCUUAGGACCCGUCUUGAAACACGGACCAAGGAGUCUAACAUGUACGCGAGUCAUUGGGACUUGUAAUGGUAUACCUAAAGGCGAAAUGAAAGUGAAGGUCGGCCCUGGUUGUCGACCGAGGGAGGAUGGGCCGCGUCGCGAUGCGGCUCCGCACUCCCGGGGCGUCUCGUUCUCAUCGCGAGAAGAGGCGCACCCAGAGCGUACACGUUGGGACCCGAAAGAUGGUGAACUAUGCCUGGUCAGGACGAAGUCAGGGGAAACCCUGAUGGAGGUCCGUAGCGAUUCUGACGUGCAAAUCGAUCGUCGGAACUGGGUAUAGGGGCGAAAGACUAAUCGAACCAUCUAGUAGCUGGUUCCCUCCGAAGUUUCCCUCAGGAUAGCUGGCACUCGACCGUUCCCGCACGGAACGCGAACGAGUCUCAUCUGGUAAAGCGAAUGAUUAGAGGCCUUGGGGCCGAAACGACCUCAACCUAUUCUCAAACUUUAAAUGGGUGAGAUCUCUGGCUUUCUUGAAACUUGAAGCCACGAGCAUCUUAAUCUCGGAUCAGAGUGCCAAGUGGGCCAUUUUUGGUAAGCAGAACUGGCGCUGUGGGAUGAACCAAACGCAGAGUUAAGGCGCCCAACUCGACGCUCAUGGGACACCAUGAAAGGCGUUGGUUGCUUAAGACAGCAGGACGGUGGCCAUGGAAGUCGGAAUCCGCUAAGGAGUGUGUAACAACUCACCUGCCGAAGCAACUUGUAACCGGACUCGAC